UCCUACCGGGGAUGAGCAGUGGGGAAUAUUGCACAAUGGGCGCAAGCCUGAUGCAGCGACGCCGCGUGAGGGAUGACGGCCUUCGGGUUGUAAACCUCUUUCACCAGGGACGAAGCGCAAGUGACGGUACCUGGAGAAGAAGCACCGGCCAACUACGUGCCAGCAGCCGCGGUAAUACGUAGGGUGCGAGCGUUGUCCGGAAUUACUGGGCGUAAAGAGCUCGUAGGCGGUUUGUCGCGUCGUCUGUGAAAUUCUGCAACUCAAUUGUAGGCGUGCAGGCGAUACGGGCAGACUUGAGUACUACAGGGGAGACUGGAAUUCCUGGUGUAGCGGUGAAAUGCGCAGAUAUCAGGAGGAACACCGGUGGCGAAGGCGGGUCUCUGGGUAGUAACUGACGCUGAGGAGCGAAAGCGUGGGUAGCGAACAGGAUUAGAUACCCUGGUAGUCCACGCCGUAAACGGUGGGUACUAGGUGUGGGGCUCAUUUCACGAGUUCCGUGCCGUAGCUAACGCAUAAGUACCCGCCUGGAGAUGUCCAGCGAC
rnacentral:rRNA from 1 species